CUUCACCGAGCCGAGCAGCAACGGCUGUCCGCUCGCCCCCCGCUCCUGGCCGUAGGCGGUCAGCAGGGCCUGGGCCUC
rnacentral:antisense_RNA from 1 species